rnacentral:misc_RNA from 1 species
GCUAACUACGUGCCAGCAGCCGCGGUAAUACGUAGGGUGCCGUUAAUCGGAAUUACUGGGCGCAAAGCGUGCGCAGGCGGUUCGGAAAAGAAAGAUGUGAACCCCAGAGCUUAACUUUGGAACUGCAUUUUUAACUACCGAGCUAGAGUGUGUCAGAGGGAGGUGGAAUUCCGCGUGUAGCAGUGAAUGCGUAGAUAUGCGGAGGAACGCUGAUGGCGAAGGCAGCCUCCUGGGAUAACACUGACGCUCAUGCACGAAAGCGUGGGGAGCAAACAGGAUUGAUACCCUGGUAGUCCACGCCCUAAACGAUGUCAAUCCGCUGUUGGGGCCUUCGGGCCUUUGGUAGCGCAGCUAACGCGUGAAGUUGACCGCCUGGGGAGUACGGUCGCAAGAUUAAACUCAAAGGAAUUGACGGGGACUCGCACAAGCGGUGGAUGAUGUGGAUUACCCGAUGCAACACGAAAAACCUUACCUACCCUUGACAUGUCUGGAAUCCCGAAGAGAUUUGGGAGUGCUCGCAAGAGAACCGGAACACAGGUGCUGCAUGGCUGUCGUCAGCUCGCCGUGAGAUGCUGGGUUAAGUCUCGCAACGAGCGCAACCCUUGUCAUUAGUUGCUACGAAAGGGCACUCUAUCGAGACUGCCGGUGACAAACCGGAGGAUGGGGAUGACGUCAAGUCCUCAUGGCCCUUUAAGGGUAGGGCUUCACACGUCAUACAAUGGUCGGGACAGAGGGUCGCCAACCCGCGAGGGGGAGCCAAUCCCAGAAACCCGAUCGUAGUCCGGAUCGCAGUCUGCAACUCGACUGCGUGAAGUCGGAAUCGCUAGUAAUCGCGGAUCAGCAUGUCGCGGUGAAUACGUUCCCGGGUCUUGUACACACCGCCCGUCACACCAUGGGAGUGGGUUUUACCAGAAGUAGUUAGCCUAACCGUAAGGAGGGCGAUUACCACGGUAGGAUUCAUGACUGGGGUGAAGUCGUAACAAGGUAA